AUUGGACGCUGGCGGCAUGCUUUACACAUGCAAGUCGAACGGCAGCACGGACUUCGGUCUGGUGGCGAGUGGCGAACGGGUGAGUAAUACAUCGGAACGUACCCAGUAAUGGGGGAUAACUAGUCGAAAGAUUAGCUAAUACCGCAUACGCCCUACGGGGGAAAGAGGGGGAUCGCAAACACUCUUGUUAUUGGAGCGGCCGAUGGCUGAUUAGCUAGUGGGUGGGGUAAAUGCCGACCAAGGCGACGAUCAGUAGCGGGUCUUAGAGGACGAUCCGCCACACUGGAACUGAGACACGGUCCAGACUCCUACGGGAGGCAGCAGUGGGGAAUCUUGGACAAUGGGCGAAAGCCUGAUCCAGCAAUGCCGCGUGCGUGAAGAAGGCCUUCGGGUUGUAAAGCGCUUUUGUCUGGGAGCAAAUCCUUGUGGCUAAUACCCGCCGGGGAUGAGAGUACCAGAAGAAUAAGGACCGGCUAACUACGUGCCAGCCGCCGCCGUAACAC
rnacentral:rRNA from 1 species